GUGAGGGGCCAAUUGUCAAGGUUCUAUCUGCGCGAUGAUUGAUGGGAGCCUGGGUUUUUCUGUCAGCCUGUCACGGCGCAGGAAUGUUUAAUGUUCUCAUUAUUGGUUACGCUGUUGUGUAUAUUUCUCUGUCAGCACCGCGGACCCAGCUGAACUGGCAGAGCACUUCAAAGGCCUGCGGGUCAUUCAUCAUCCCCAUGACGCUCCGGCAAAUGCUCAGCUUCAGCUCCGCGCCAGGGAUUUGUUAUGACUUGCGAGCCGGCUGACAGACAGGGCUGUGGCGGCCGUGGGAGGGGACGCAGAGGGGAGGCAGCCGCGCAGCCCUUUUUGUCACUCUGGGUCCAUGGCAGCGCCCAGCGCCCGGGCUCUGCGGCUCCCGGGGGCCAUAGGUGCAGACCCGCACAACGCCCCCUCCCCUGGCGGUCACCGGAAGGGGGCCGAGGAGCACCCCGACUAGGGGCCCAGGUCCCGCCCCGCUCGCCUCCUGCUCUCCGGUCAAGUCCAGCCGGCGGCGCCCUCUCCCUUCAGUCCCACCCUUCUCUCCGCUGUCGGCCGUGACAUGAUUAAUCGUUUUCUUCUGAUCUAAUUUUGGAACAUGAAAAACAGCACAUUUGUCUUGAAGAAAAAUGAUGUGCCGAACUGCGCAGAUGGAAAUUUCGAGCAAUGAGAAAGAUUAAAGUGAAACCCCACUCCUUAGACCUAAUCAUGAGUUGUAGAUUAUUCUGUCGGCCCAGCCAGAUGGUAGCUCUGAUUCCACAGCCC
ensembl:lncRNA